rnacentral:rRNA from 1 species
CAGCAGCCGCGGUAAUACGUAGGUGGCGAGCGUUGUCCGGAAUUAUUGGGCGUAAAGGGAGCGCAGGCGGGCGAGCAAGUCUUUCUUAAAAGUGCGGGGCUCAACCCCGUGAGGGGAGAGAAACUACUCAUCUUGAGUGCAGGAGAGGAAAGCGGAAUUCCUAGUGUAGCGGUGAAAUGCGUAGAUAUUAGGAAGAACACCAGUGGCGAAGGCGGCUUUUUGGCCUGUAACUGACACUGAGGCGCGAAAGCGUGGGGAGCAAACAGGAUUAGAUACCCCCGUAGUCCCUGUCUCUUAUACA